rnacentral:rRNA from 1 species
AUUGAACGCUGGCGGCAGGCCUAACACAUGCAAGUCGAGCGAGCGGCGGACGGGUGAGUGAUGUCUGGGAACAUGCCUGAUGGAGGGGGAUAACUACUGGAAACGGUAGCUAAUACCGCAUACCCUCAGAUGUGCCCAGAUGGGUGUAGCGAGUAGGUGGGGUAACGGCUCACCUAGGCUACGAUCCCUAGCUGGUCUGAGAGGAUGACCAGCCAAAUUGGACCUGAGACACGGUCCAGAUCCUUCCGGGAGGAAGCAGGGGGGAAUAUUCCACAAUGGGCGAAAGCCUGAUGAAGCAAGGCCGCGUGUUGGAAGAAGCCCUUCGGGUGGUAAAGCACUUUCAGCGGGGCGGCGGUACCCGCAGAAGAAGCACCGGCUAACUCCGUGCCAGCAGCCGCGGUAAUAC